GACGUAGGGGGCGAGCGUUGUCCGGAUUUAUUGGGCGUAAAGCGCGCGCAGGCGGUUCGGCAAGUCGGGUGUGAAAACCCGGGGCUCAACCCCGGACCUGCAUCCGAUACUCCCGGACUGGAGGCAGGUAGGGGAGAGCGGAAUUCCCGGUGUAGCGGUGAAAUGCGCAGAUAUCGGGAAGAACACCGGUGGCGAAGGCGGCUCUCUGGACCUGUCCUGACGCUCAGGCGCGAAAGCUAGGGGAGCGAACAGG
rnacentral:rRNA from 1 species